rnacentral:rRNA from 1 species
ACGCUGGCGGCGUGCUUAACACAUGCAAGUCGAACGGUGAACCAGAGCUCGCUCUGGGGAUCAGUGGCGAACGGGUGAGUAACACGUGGGCAACCUGCCCCUGACUCUGGGAUAACCCCGGGAAACCGGAGCUAAUAUCGGAUAUGACCACUUCGGACAUCCGAUGGUGGUGGAAAGUUUUUCGGUCUGGGAUGGGCCCGCGGCCUAUCAGCUAGUUGGUGGGGUAAUGGCCUACCAAGGCGACGACGGGUAGCCGGCCUGAGAGGGCGACCGGCCACACUGGAACUGAGACACGGUCCAGACUCCUACGGGAGGCAGCAGUGGGGAAUAUUGCACAAUGGGCGAAAGCCUGAUGCAGCGACGCCGCGUGAGGGACGACGACCUUCGGGUUGUAAACCUCUUUCAGCAGGGACGAAGCGAAAGUGACUGUACCUGCAAAAGAAGCACCGGCUAACUACGUG